UGAUGUAAAAAGGAUGAAGAAAUUAUUGUUAUUAUUACCAUGAAGAAGAGCAGAUAAGCUACCAGCAGGCAUGAAAUCAGAAACAAGCAAUUUCUCAUCCUUUGAAUAAUAAAAAGCUCUUAACGGAACCACAUUUUCGUUCUUCAUCUUCCCCAAAAUCUCCAUCUGUGCCUCAAACUCCUUCUUCGUCACCACCACAUCUUUCAACCGCUUCACCACCACCGUCGUACCUUCCUCCAGCACCGCCUUGUACGACGUCCCUACGCUACCCUUACCUAACACCUCCGCAGAUGCUCGCAACAAAUCCUCCAAAUCGAAGCUGUAUAUUCCUCCGUCGAAGAACACUAGCUUGUUUCUCUCACCUUCUGCUGACGCUCCGGUGACGUCAUCCUUCGAUGACGACGUUCCGGCUUCUGUAACCGCUCUGGUUGCUCCUCCGGCUGCCGGAGUUUGCACUGGUGGUUUUGGAGGCUGUUUCGCUUGUUGAUUACGUUUUUUUCGUAGGCAUAGUAACAGGAUUAGUAACAGUAGAGCGAGGAUUAACGCAGAUCCGACUGCUAUAGCGACGAUUGCUCCGGUUGAGAGCUUUUUAGACUUUUUUCCGACUGGAGGCGAUGAAAUCGACGACGGAGACGGCGCCGGAGACGGAAAAAAAGUAUUGUUACACGGCGGAAGAGGAUUUCCACACAGAUUUAUGUUACCGGAGAAUGCAGAUUCCGGAAAUCUAGCUAACGAUUUCGGAAUCGAACCGUUGAGUUUAUUAUUCGCUAGGUUUAAAUCGGAUAAACUCGCUAGGUUUAUACUCGGAAGCUGACCGGAAAAACUGUUGUUCUCUAACCUAAGUUCACUUAACCGUUUCAAAUUGUUAACAGAAAACGGAAUCUGACCGGAAAACUCAUUACCUGAAAGAUCUAACCGCUCUACACCACUCAUGUUCGUCACACUCGCCGGAAACUCACCGGAAAACUUAUUAUUCUGCAAAUAAACACUCCGAAUAUUACCGAGAUUCGCCAAAUCAUCAGGAAUGUUACCGGAGAGGCCAUUGGAUCUGAGAGAAAGUACACGGAGUUUCGUCAGCGUUCCGAUUGUAUUCGGCGGGAUUUCUCCGACGAGUCUGGCGCCGGGGAGGCGGAGGUAGAUGACGGAGGAGUUUGUGGCGUCGCAGGUGACGCCACGCCAGUUGCAAACGGAGUCCGAUGGAUUCCAUGAGUAGCGAGAGUCGUGUGGAAGCUUCGAGAUGAAGGUUUGAAGCGCUUGCUUUUCCUGAGUCAGAUCGGAUGUGACUCGGUGGUGGUGAAGGGUAAAAAUGGAAAAGAGAAAUAUUGUUGUGAACGGAGACAUUGUGAGAAAUGAGAAGUGGGAAAUAUGAACUGAGAAAUGUAUGUGUUGUUAUUAUUUUGGAGGUUUCCGGCGACAAGCGGCCAUGAGAGAGAGAGAUAUAGAUAUAGAGAGAGAAUGUAUGGUUUAUAGAGAGAGAGAAGAGAGUGAUAAAAGACGAGAGGAGGAGUGAGGUGUGGGAAUAUAAUAUUUGUUAAAAAAAGAAAAAGGAAAAAGGAAAAGGGGAAAACAGUGUCGUUUUUGCUGGCAAGCAACGAUUAAAUAUGAAAACGCUCCCUUUUAUUAUUAUCUAGAAAUCAUGUUUAUUUACACUUGUUUUACUUGGAGAUUAAUUUAUCUUUAAGGAGGGAUUAAAUGUUGAAGGUUUAAAUAUGGGUUUAAUGGUAUUGUGCUAUCCCAUGUGA
rnacentral:lncRNA from 1 species